CCUGGGGAGUGACGGCCGCAAGGCUAAAACUCAAAGAAAUUGACGGGGGCCCGCACAAGCGGCGGAGCAUGCGGAUUAAUUCGAUGCAACGCGAAGAACCUUACCAAGGCUUGACAUGCACGGCGGCACUGCAGAGAUGUGGUGGCAUUUAGUUGGUCGUGUGCAGGUGGUGCAUGGUUGUCGUCAGCUCGUGUCGUGAGAUGUUGGGUUAAGUCCCGCAACGAGCGCAACCCUUGCCCUAUGUUGCCAGCACGUGAUGGUGGGGACUCGUGGGGGACUGCCGGGGUUAACUCGGAGGAAGGUGGGGAUGACGUCAAAUCAUCAUGCCCCUUAUGUCUUGGGCUUCACGCAUGCUACAAUGGCUGGUACAGAGGGUUGCGAUAUCGUGAGGUGGAGCGAAUCCCUUAAAGCCAGUCUCAGUUCGGAUUGGGGUCUGCAACUCGACCCCAUGAAGGUGGAGUCGCUAGUAAUCGCAGAUCAGCAACGCUGCGGCGAAUACGUUCUCGGGCCUUGUACACACCGCCCGUCACGUCACGAAAGUUGGUAACAC
rnacentral:rRNA from 1 species